UGGAGGAUAAGAAGAAACAUGACAGCGUAGAGGCAGCUUGAACAAACAAACCGGGGGUGAAUGCAGCCAAUAAGCGCAAUUAAAACACCGUUAAUGUGUUAAUUUGAAUGUGUUAAAUGUUAAGUGGCCGAGACGCGGACUUUCUGCCGAAGAUUUUUUUUUUAAACAUUCAGCCAAAGUAAAAUGUCAGUGAGCGCAUCGUGUGAACCGGUCUCUCAGGAGAGGACUCUGUCGAGUCUCCUCGCCAGCCGUGUGGUGAAGAGGCCGAAGCAGGAAGAUGGUCAGUGGCUGCAGGAAGCAGCGAUCCAGCUGCUGGAACAGCAGCAGAACCUCUGCAGUCUGCUCAGGGAGGUCGGGAAUCUGGAGCCGUGCAAAAAGGUCUGCAUUCAGAGUGGAGAGCAGAAACCAGCAGCGUCUGAAGGCAUCUCAUCUGCCGCUGCAGGGUCACUGCUGGUGUGUGAGCUGAGGCGUCAGGCCACGCAGCUGGGUGUCCCGGUGGCGGUGCUGUCAGUGAAGACGACGCUGCAGAGACUGAUGGAGAUCACUAGGACUGAAGAAGAGGAGGAGGACGAGGACAAGAGGAGAGAGCUGCUCACUUCCUCUCAGAGAGUCCAGCUGUGUGUCCUGCUGGAGUCCAGCAAAGAGCUGCUGUCACAGGGAGCCCUCUGCCCCAAGCUGCUCUGGCAGGAGUACAGGAGAGAUAAGAGGCUACCCAAGCUGGAGGUGGUGUACCACCUCCAGCUGUACGACAUCCUCACUCUGAAGUACAUUUUAGAGAAUGAUGAAGGCUUGAGGCUUUGGUUGGUGUCUCAGCUGAAGGCUCUGUGCAGCUGGACACCUCCACAGGGAGAAGAGGACACCAGACUAGUUCAACAGAAAGUGAUGUCAUUGGUAGUUGGAGUGUUGGUGGGAUCUGGCUUUGAGCUGAGCCACGAGCCUGCAGGUCCAGACAGGAGGAUCUCCCUGCUCUGCUGCUCCGUACUCGAUGAAAUGCUCUUCUGGCUUCUAGACACUGUGGACAAGAGUCGUACGCUGCAGUCUGCUGGAGCGGGAGCUGAGCUUUGGAUUCAGAUAUUUGACGCUUCGUUGUGUGGAGUCUCAGCAUCAGCGUCAGCCCUUCAGCGUUUCUUCACUCACUCCCUCACACAGACACUCACGUACAAGCCUCAGCUGACAGUGUCAGACGCCAUCACGCUGCAGAACGAGUGGACGUUUGCUAAAUCCAGUCCAUUGUUGACGUCUCUUUUCCGUAAGCUGGCUGUGAUCUUCAGCGUGGAGCUGCUGCUGCGUCACCUGCAGCAGGUUUUGGAAACGCACGAGGUCAACUGGAAACACGUCCUGUGCUUCCUGUCCACUCUGCUGGUGUACAACCCCUGUGCCCAGCCCUGCCUCAGAGAGCUGCUGUCCAGACUGCUGAGCUCUGCGUUUGAAGGCUAUGACUUAGAGAACAUGAUAACCGCCUUCUUGUUGGCUCGACAGGGAGCGCUGGAGGGAACCGGCAUCUUCCCCUCCUACAGCGACUGGUUCAAGAUGUCCUUUGGUGGUGGCAGUAGUCACCAUGCAACAAGUAAGAAAUCUCUGGUGUUCCUGCUGAAGUUCCUCUCUGACCUGGUUCCUUUUGAACCCCCACAGUACCUCAAGGUUCAUCUCCUCCACCCUCCGUACAUACCUGUGAAACAUCGCAGCCUCCUGAUGGAGUACAUCUCUCUGGCCAAGACCAGGCUGGCUGACCUCAAGGAGUCAGUGGAGGACAUGGGCUUAUAUGAGGAUAUAUCUGGUGCAGUUGGAGCAGCAGUGCAGCCCCAGUGUCAGGCUGCUCAGGAUGUGGAGAAGGCAGUGUCUCUGUUUGAGAGCACAGGAAGAAUCUCUCCCACAGUCAUGGAGGCCAGUAUUUUCCGGAGGCCAUAUUUCCUGACACGGUUCCUCCCUGCUCUGCUGACGCCAAGAGUGCUUCCUGUCAAAGCUGAUGCUCGGAUGAAUUUCAUAGAGGCUUUGAAAAAAGCAGACAAGAUCCCUGCUGCCCAGUAUUCAUCUUACGUGGAGUCUUGCCAGAGACAGAGACAGCAGGACAGGAGUGCUGUGUGUUUGGACAGCAGUGAUGAUCCUCUGGAGGUCCUGAAAGUUCAGCUGCAGGAGCUCACACAGCUGGUUGCUGAUGGAAAUGAUGGAGAGAUGUCGGCCCAGCUGUCCAGGACCUCACACACACUGGGUGUCAUCUUCCCCGGCCGUCCUGAUGAGCUUACUGGACAAGCAGUCAUCAAACUUCACAUGGACGCUCCUCCGUCCUCCGAGCUCCAUGUCAAAGCCAUCAGCAUGAUCCUGAGGAGCUUCUGUCAGUGCAUGUUGGACGCCUCGCGAGCAAACCCUCCUAAUAAACAAAGCCCGUGGGCCUCCAGGUUUGUCAGUGUUCUGCUUGGCAACGCACAGCUGCUCUCCAGCCUCAUACACAGACUCUGGGACCUAUUUCAUAACCAGGGGUCAUCGCUGAGCGCUGCCCACGUGCUCGGCCUGGCAGCCUUUGUGGUCCACCUCCACGCCUCCAUGUCCCACAGUCCUCUGAUUCAGCUGGUCCCCCCUGUUCUGCCCAAACCGGUACCUGUCGGAGACGCUCUCAGCUCAGCGCUGGUCUGCAGCACACGCUCCAACAUGCUCUUCUGUGUCAAGUUUUGUGUUGCAGCUGUGUGUUAUGGGAUCUGCAGAGGCGACUCGCUGCCUCAGCAGCAGCAGCAGGACCACAUUCUCAGCAGCCUCUAUAAGAAGCUUCUGUACCUCAUCCCGAGACUGUUGCCUGAAGCCAGAAGGCGUCCCAUCAGUGCUGAGGGUCUGGUGGGUGAACACCAGGAGAUGGACCUGCCUGAGCUGUGGAGCAGUGCCACAGACGGCAGCAGCACCUGGAGGAGGACUGCCUGCUAUCUGUGGAGGCUCGCUGCUUUUCACCAGCUGCAACACACACCACGCUAUCAGUUGUCGUUCUCUGAAUGGCUGGCUGAUGAGCUCAGAGUACAGAGGAGUGAAGACGCGCUGUCUGACCCGGAACGUCAUGAGUACCAGCGGUGGGCCUGCCUGGAGCUGUACUGGUCUCGUCCAGAAGAGCAGGGAGGCUGUGGAGGAGACAUGAAACGUCUCUGUUCUCACCUCCUCAGCGCCAUCAUGGACCAGCAGUGCAGUUACCAGAGCCUGGAAAAGCUGGAUCACCCAGGGUCGGACACAGGGACCUGUCUGCCGGACAUCCUGUCCAGAUUACAGGAGCUGGUCUACGAGAUGGAACUGACCAACCUGUCCGGUAGCUGGAGCCGCAGAGCUGAGGUGUGUGACUUCCUGUUUGAGUUUGUGUGUCAGAGAUGCUCCUCUACCACAAGCUCAGGGUCACUCGGUGUCAGCUCUGAGCUCAGCCUGCAACACACACUGAGCACGUGGAACAGAGUGCUGCUGGCUCUCCCAGCUGUGCUGUUUGUUAAGGUGAAGUCUGAGGGAGGGAGGACGACUCUGGACUGUAACAGGCUGAUGGAACAUGUCAACCAGCAUCAGAGGAAAGUGUGUUCUCCAGCCGGCCUGAUGUCCUGCCACGUCACAGCACACUUCCUGAGGGGUGUGUUAUGUGCCAGUGUAUGCUGUGGAUGUCCCAGGGAAGAAGUCAACAAGGCCUGGUCCCAGAUCGGUCUUCAUUGUCCCCUGCUCCUGACCUCCACAGUGCACUGGUGGGAGUGUCUGUCUCCCAUGCUGUUGUCCCUGUGGAGUCGUCUGUGUGAUGGACAGCCUCUGCCAGAGCAGCUGAAGCUCAUCGCUGACUGUCAGCACUGGGCUUACAGUUUAGAAAACGGCCCGUCGCCGCCUGCGGCUCCAGCUCUGCUGUUGGCGUCCAGCCUGCACUGUGCUUGGCGAGGCCGUGGGGGGGGCGACCAGGGCGUCACUGCAGCCCUGAAGGUGCUGCGCCCAGAGAGGAGCAAACAGCACCGACAGGUUCUUGUUUUUCUGCUUUUCCUGUGUGUGAACGACCAUCUGUCAGCACUCCUGUACCCUCAGGAGAACAGUGAUCAGAAAGCCAGGAGUCUAUGCACAGACCUUCUGUCUGUGUUGGUGGACUCUGCAGACUGGCUGCUCAUCUUUAAAUCAGAUGAACGAGGUGUUUAUCGGUCGGUUUCCAUGGUGACGUCAGAGGAGUUUAUUCGGCUAAUGCCUUGGGCUUUCUACAGCCUGCUGCUCCAGCAGAGUGCUGAGCUGCUGCAGAGAGCUGUGUGUGGUCCAGGGUUCCUUCAUACUGCCGUCCUCUGCUACAUCAGUCUGCUGCAGCUGUUCCUGGACGGACACACGCCUACACCGAGCUCCGAGCCCUCUGAAAGGCAGGUGCGUGAGCCUCAGUCGGAGCCUUCCUGGACUCUGAGCCACACCAAGCAGUUUCUUCUCAGAGCGAUCGCCCAGUCGUCUCCUGCUGCUCUGUCCUCCAGCCAAAUCAGACAGCUGGAGUCCCAGUGUACAGACCUGGACCCAGAAGUGGCAGCGGCGCUCUCUGCGCUCCACAGCCCUCACAGCCUCAGCCCAGAGAUGGACUUCCUGUGAACAGCAGAGGACUGAUGCUGGGGCCAGGGGACUGGCUGAAGACACCUGGUUACUGCAGACUCGUCUCCUCUGACAGUGACUGAGGACACAAGUCCACACUGUCAGAAGGAGACAGAUCUGCGUCCGUGGGUCUCUCCAGUGGGCUCUGGACGUCUACAAUCAGCUCCAUGACACUCAAAGCAGCUUUGUCACGUAAAUGUCUGGUUUUGUAGGAUUAAAGGUGCAAAAACUUUGU